CUUUGCUGAUGAAUUGUCUGCAUCUAGGAGCAUGCCCUAUGUGGUGAAUGCUGUUCCUAAUCUGAGUUGCCCCUCACAGAUUUUUUCUUCCCUUCCGGUGCAAUUGGUCCCAUCGAUAUGUGCAGCCAAAGAUAUUUUUGUAUUUUAUUUUGUCUGUUGCAUCAAAAUUGUUCUUGUGCACUGGGACAAAAGCCAGCCCCAGACAGCAGGUCAUUUGGCUGCUGUGUGCAACAGCAUUGUGCCAUCCUAACGUUCUUUGGCACUGGUAAUGAGGGACUACAGGGACUAAGAUCCAUGGAGUAUGUGGCUUCUUUAGAAAAAUACGCUUCCCAGUGCAGAGGAGCUGAAUGGGGUGCUGAAGAUGAGACUGGGGGUUUUAUAAAUAUUCAGAGCCCCUGGAAGUGCACGAGUGCACAAGGGAUUGUCGUGAGAGCAGAGGAUGUCGGCACCUCAGGCUGCAGUUAUUGCUGAGCUGGGCUCUGGCACCAGCCAGCCACUCUGCUGCCGUAGGACAAGUGUUUGGCCUUGUACAAUUUUGUUCUUAUGUGAAACCCAGAGAGUUUGAGAGAGUGUUUAAAUCAGUUCUGCUGGUCUGCGGAUCAGGUUCAAAUAUAAAUUCAAAAGCCAGUAUUCCGCAUUUCUGACAUGAGAUGUAAGCACAGAUGCAGGACCAUAAUCCUCUACUGAAUGUGAUUUUAAAAACCAAGGGAAGCUAACAGAAGAUGAUUACAAAACCUGAAAUUGCUUUGACAGUAUGAGUGACAGUACGUAAUUUAUUUCUAAUCACUAUUAGAAGUUGGUUGAUUAAAUUUUUUUCCAUUAAAUAUUUCUGCAAAUGAAGGAUAUGUUCAAUUGUGCUUAAGCAUUAAUUGAAUUAGCAUUUAAAUAUACAUUCAUCUGCUGUUGUACUUUCUAAAGGUAGAACAUUUUUUCAGAAAUUAACGGAAUUUUUAAAAAGUCAAUCCAAAUCUUUUUCACAAGGUUUUGGUGUUGUUUUUGUUGUUGUUGUUGUUUGUUUGUUCUGGAUUUCUGAAUAAUUCUAAGAAUGGUACCUUUGUAUCACUUGAGAUUAUUCAGGUAGGUCAUCAACAUUAUUUUAAUGGCUGUAAGUGAGGAAAAUUAGACUAUGACUGUAUUAAUAAGGAACUCAACUUAGAAUCAUAGAAUCGCUAAGGUUGGAAAAGACCCACAGGAUCGUCCAGUCCAAACUUAGAAUAACUUAAUGCCAUUUGGAUUGCGCAAUAGUGAAUUAUGUUUCAGCUAUAAAAUGUAG
rnacentral:lncRNA from 1 species